CUAAGGCAGCAGCUGGAGCAGAUGUCCCUGUCACGUUUCGGGAUACAGCGAUUUGAUGGGUCCGAUGUGGACAUUCGUUUUUUCACCCGGUUUGCAUCUUAUGACCACCUGAUGCGGUUUUGGCAGGUCAUUCAACCAUCACUGAAAUACAUGGUCCGAGCGACCAGGUUAACUGCUGAUGAUGCUGGACGACUGAGUGCUCCCACGGGACAGGCUCUACACCCAAUAGAUGAGAUGUUCCUGU